AUUGAACGCUGGCGGCAGGCCUAACACAUGCAAGUCGAGCGAGUGGCGGACGGGUGAGUAAUGUCUGGGAAACUGCCUGAUGGAGGGGGAUAACUACUGGAAACGGUAGCUAAUACCGCAUACCAUCGGAUGUGCCCAGAUGGGAUUAGCUAGUAGGUGGGGUAAUGGUUCACCUAGGCGACGAUCCCUAGCUGGUCUGAGAGGAUGACCAUGGACACUGGAACUGGGACACGGACCAGACUCCUACUGGAGGCAGCAGUGGGGAAUAUGGCACACUGGGCGCAAGCCUGAUGCCGCCAUGCCGCGUGUAUGAGGAAGGCCUUCGGGUUGUAAAGUACUUUCAGCGAGGAGGCGUUACUCGCAGAAGAAGCACCGGCUAACUCCGUGCCAGCAGCCGCGGUAAUAC
rnacentral:rRNA from 1 species